CGAGCGGAUGAAGGGAGCUUGCUCCUGGAUUCAGCGCGGACGGGUGAGUAAUGCCUAGGAAUCUGCCUGGUAGUGGGGGAUAACGUCCGGAAACGGGCGCUAAUACCGCAUACGUCCUGAGGGAGAAAGUGGGGGAUCUUCGGACCUCACGCUAUCAGAUGAGCCUAGGUCGGAUUAGCUAGUUGGUGGGGUAAAGGCCUACCAAGGCGACGAUCCGUAACUGGUCUGAGAGGAUGAUCAGUCACACUGGAACUGAGACACGGUCCAGACUCCUACGGGAGGCAGCAGUGGGGAAUAUUGGACAAUGGGCGAAAGCCUGAUCCAGCCAUGCCGCGUGUGUGAAGAAGGUCUUCGGAUUGUAAAGCACUUUAAGUUGGGAGGAAGGGCAGUAAGUUAAUACCUUGCUGUUUUGACGUUACCAACAGAAUAAGCACCGGCUAACUUCGUGCCAGCAGCCGCGGU
rnacentral:rRNA from 1 species